GCUUUUCGGGCCAUCUAUAUUACACAGACAGAAGUUUAGAUGCGACCACUUUCUGGCCAAUAAUUCCCUGACAGCAUCAUAUUUUGGCCAAUUGUAUGAAUCCAGCUUGUGAGUGAGGAGUGUGCUCUGUGGAUAUGGAGCACGUGUGCGCAUUACGAAACCCAAGUGGAUGAACAAUGUUUCUUUUGUUCUGUAUCUGGAGAUCAGGAAGGCAGCUAUCUUUUAAGUAGACUGGACUAUUAAUGUGAUGGGGUGCUAUAGCACAUCAGGUUGCUCUCUGUGAUACGAGGCGAUUUUGGGACAACAGCUUAACAACAAUUCGAAGGUGCCUGAUGCUUUUUUAGAGGCUUAAUCUGAGCGCAUUUGUUGCACGUCUUCCAAGGAUCUCCGUGUAUUUACGUGAUCGCAAUUCUAUUGUGCAGCCUGAAGCAAACUCUGGACUACGUGCUGCGACUACGUAGGUUUCAUGUGCGGACGACUCUGCUGCUGCCACGCCCUCUGCUGGAAUUCACACUAGAUUGACAAAUUAAGGACUACAAUGAAUUCUAAGGACCUCCACGAAGGACAAAGUAAAUUUUUCCAGGAUCGGACUUUAAUUAAGCCAGAUAUUGCUAUUUUAAGACAAAUAAGCCAAAAUUCUAAUUUAUGCUCGUUUUGUACACUUUUAAGGAAAUAAUUAAGAAAAUAAGCAUAAAAAACUAUUUUAUAAAUUUAAACAAAAAUAAACGAAUUAUUUUAAAUGAAAA